rnacentral:rRNA from 1 species
GGCCUACGGGACGCAGCAGUAGGGAAUCUUCCACAAUGGGCGAAAGCCUGAUGGAGCAACGCCGCGUGGGUGAAGAAGGUCUUCGGAUCGUAAAACCCUGUUGUUAGAGAAGAAAGUGCGUGAGAGUAACUGUUCACGUUUCGACGGUAUCUAACCAGAAAGCCACGGCUAACUACGUGCCAGCAGCCGCGGUAAUACGUAGGUGGCAAGCGUUAUCCGGAUUUAUUGGGCGUAAAGAGAACGCAGGCGGACUUUUAAGUCUGAUUGGAAAGCCUUCGGCUUAACCGGUGUAGUGCAUUGGAAAA